GGGCGCGUGGCUCAGUGGUAGAGCGUCAAACUGAUAAUUUGAAGGUCCAAGGUUCGAUCCCUUGCGCGCCCACAA
rnacentral:tRNA from 1 species